rfam:Hordeum vulgare subsp. vulgare, WGS project CAJW01000000 data, contig: morex_contig_1579193
UUCAUACUCCCUUCGUCCCAAAAUACUUGUCAUAGAUUUGUUUAGAUAUGAAUCUAUCUAGUCAAGUUUUAGUAUUUAGAUACAUCCAUUUCUAAAAAAAGGUAAGACAAGAAUUUUGGGACGGAGGAAGUAUAAA